ACGAAACUAAUAAGGAAGACACUUUGCACCCAGAUGUUUCAAAGAAUCUACUUGACUGGCAUGAGGGUCGUCGAGUGGUUGAACUUGGUGUGCUAGCAGCCCAGCUACAGAAAGGAUGCAAGAAAUGUGGGACUGUAUUACAUCUAUGUGAUUGUUUUCAAGAGAGGCAUUAUGGCCUUGGAAGUAUUUUGUACAUAAAGUGUACUAUAUGCAGUUUUAUUUCAAACAUCCCCACUGGAAAGCGGCAUGAAAAAAAACAUUUGGGAUGUGAACACUAAGCUUGGUGCAGGUAAUUUCAGAAAA